UCACCUCAUACUUCUUUUUAUCUUCUUCUUUCUUGACCACAGACCUGACUUUCUUGGCUCUUUUUCUCAAGUGUCAUUUGAAAACAUAAGGUCUUUCCAAAAGUAAGGCCAGGUCUUACUGUGAACCUCUCUUAGAGCUGUGACCAUUUAGAUGAUAUCUGCUUUCAACGCUGCCUAUCCUCAUUUGAUGCACAGCUUUCAUGGAAAGCAGCACUGGGCAGUCUAGCCGUUGCCCUCUUUCUGAGCCAUGUUUUCUUGGAAAUGGCCUCUGCUUCUGUUAUGAUUUAUAACUAGAUGUGCCCCAAAGUUUCAUGUAGAAUAAGUGGAGAUCUGAGGAAGCAAUUAGAUCAAAAGUGUGAUACUCAUCAGGGGAUUAGCACACUGAUGAGCUUAUAAAUAACUAUGAUGUUAGGAGGUGAAGGCUGGCUGGAGGAGGCAGAGCCCAAAGGCACGGCCUGGAAGAGUGCAUCACCCUCCUUCUCUGGUGGUCUCUCUCUGCUUCCUAUUGCCUAGCCUCUGCCAGGCCCCCCCACCAUGCCAGCCAACUAUGGACUGAAGCCUCUACAAAAUGUAGGAGGCAGUCAUCUCUAUCAAGUGUCCUAAAACGGAGAUUUUUGAAACUUUCACUGAUGUAAAAAGAUCUUUGAUUUGUUUUUUAUGGGUGACUGGUCUAGGUCAUGGGACAGUGGAAAGCCUCUAUUGCAGGACCGAGGUGGUACCUUUUGGUGGAGAAGAACUAUAUUAAGUGUGAAGUAACCUUGAAGGGAAGAAUGUGGUCAUCUUUACUGUGCAAGACAUUGUGCAUAUAGGCAACAUGGCGAAUGUGUUGGUUAAUUUUAUGUGUCAACAUAACUGGGCUAAAGGAUAUCAAGGUAGCCAGUAAAACAUCAUUUUUGAGUGUCUCUGUGAGGGUAUUUCUAGAAGGCAUUGGUUCUGAACCUGUUGACUAGGAAAGAAGAUCUACUUCCAAUCCUCAGAGUCCCUGGUUAGAACAAAAGGCAGAAAAUGAGUAAAUUUGGUCUCUGCUUGAGUUGGGACAUCCACCUUCUGAUCAUGGAGACUGGCACAUCUUUUGCUCAGAAUUUCAUGUUUGGGCUGGACUGUACCACCAGCAUUUUGAUUCUUCUGGCCUGCAGAUAGCAGAUUAUGGAACUCCCUAUCCUCCAUAAUGGUAUGACCAAGCUCUUGUAAUGAAUUCAUCCCUUCAGGGGUAUAUGUAUAUGUACAUGAGUAUAGAUAGAGCUAUAUUUAUAUCCUAUUUAUUGUGGUUUUUACUGGAGAAUUCUGAUAAAUAUAGCAAGAUUCUUGCUUGUACUCACUUCACAUGGGAACUACUUGGUCUCCUAAAUUUGCCUGAAGUAGAGCGACGCAGAGUCACUGCCAAGUCUUUUACCUGCAGCAAGUCCGUUGGUCGGUACCCAUAUACCUCUUCAAGUACUCAAAUGCUGAUCAAUUUUCACCUAACAGAUGACCAGAUGUUGGUUCAGAAAGAAAGGCUAUAUGCCAUAAAAAGUACUUCAUGGCCAGAUAUUGGAAUAGUGUUGAAACUGGAGCCUAUAUAAAUACUUUGGUGCUAUUCCAUUUGGACACAUGCCACAAAAAAUAACCUAGAGUAGUUUUGAAAAAGUGUCAAUAAAUCAACUGUUUAGCUCGA